rnacentral:lncRNA from 1 species
UGUAAUACCCAAAUUUUGCCCGACCCAAUACAUAUAUUAAAACCCAAAUAUAAAAAUAAAAAAAUUAAAAGUCCAAAUGCCCAUUACAUUAACCCAAUUUAAAAAAAAAACCAAAAUUACAUACCCAAAGUCCAAUUAACAGAAACCCAAUACCUAAACUACCCAACAUCAGGCCCAAAUUGCUAAUCCACUAGGGCCCAUUAAAAUUUAAACCCAAUUUGCCUAGACCCUAGCCCAAUCACGAAGUGACCCAACGCAAAAUCAGAGGUUGAAACCCUAGCAGCUUCCAGCGCCGUUCUCCCCAGCCACGCACGCCUCC